rnacentral:rRNA from 4 species
GCGACCCCAUGUCAGGCGGGACUACCCGCUGAGUUUAAGCAUAUCAAUAAGCGGAGGAAAAGAAACUUAC